rnacentral:rRNA from 1 species
CUACGGGAGGCAGCAGUGAGGAAUAUUGGGCAAUGCCCGCAAGGGUGACCCAGCAACGCCGCGUGGAGGAUGAAGGUCGUAAGAUUGUAAACUCCUGUUAGAGGGGAAGAACAGCACCGAUUGGAUCGGUGUUUGACUGUACCCUCGGAGAAAGCCCCGGCUAACUACGUGCCAGCAGCCGCGGUAAUACGUAGGGGGCAAGCGUUGUCCGGAUUUACUGGGUGUAAAGGGCGCGCAGGCGGGAUAGCAAGUCAGAGGUGAAAUCCUACAGCUUAACUGUAGAACUGCCUUUGAUACUGUUAUUCUUGAGUUCGGGAGAGAGAGACGGAAUUCCAGGUGUAGUGGUGAAAUACGUAGAUAUCUGGAAGAACACCAGUUGCGAAGGCGGUCUCUUGGUCCGAUACUGACGCUGAGGCGCGAAGGCGUGGGGAGCAAACAGGAUUAGAAACCCUUGUAGUCC